rnacentral:rRNA from 1 species
UACGGGGGGAGCAAGCGUUGUUCGGAUUUACUGGGCGUAAAGGGCUCGUAGGCGGCCUGUGCAAGUCAGUUGUGAAAUCUCCGAGCUUAACUCGGAACGGUCAACUGAUACUGCUCGGCUAGAGUGCGGAAGGGGCAACUGGAAUUCUUGGUGUAGCGGUGAAAUGCGUAGAUAUCAAGAGGAACACCUGCGGCGAAGGCGGGUUGCUGGGCCGACACUGACGCUGAGGCGCGAAAGCUAGGGGAGCGAACAGG